GACGAACCGUCCAAACGUUAUUCGGUAUCACUGGGCUUAAAGCGUGCGUAGGCUGUCUGAAAGGUGAGGUGUGAAAUCCCUCGGCUCAACCGAGGAACUGCGCUUCAAACCAUUAGACUAGAGGAAUGCAGGGGUAAGCGGAACAGAUGGUGGAGCGGUGAAAUGCGUUGAUAUCAUCUGGAACACCGGUGGCGAAAGCGGCUUACUGGGCAUUUUCUGACGCUGAGGCACGAAAGCUAGGGGAGCAAACGGG
rnacentral:misc_RNA from 1 species